UAAUAAAAACAAUAGCAAUGUUGCUUCUGCUUUCAAUAGGUGGAAGACACUGGCUACCUGACCUUUGUGUACUGGGUUUUGUUCAGAGGUCUUCCCAGUAAUUGAACUGGAUUUUCCAUAGACCUUAUGCACUCAUUUUCACAAGUAGUCCAGAAUUCAUAUACUCUUGAGUGCUCUGAGCCAUACCGUGUUGUGUGUGCACUGUGGUGGUGCAUACUCCAUCCAUGGCCAAGAAGGAUGUGUAAAGCAAACAAGUGAAGUAGCUUAGAUGGGUUGGUCCAAUCAAAACUAAACUGCAAAAGGAAAUGAGGUGAUAUAAUUACAUGUCACAUGGCUAGCACAUGGAUGAAAAGAUGUGUUUUGCACUUUGAAGCUGAGUAGCCUGUGUAUUUUUGGAAUACAUAUUUUAUCUUUGAGCUUAGGCUAAAUUAGCAUGACAAGAUCUAACACUAUUACUCUCUGCAUGGAAGAUUUUUUAAUGAGAGACAACAAAACACCAUCUGUUGGGAGACAGGCAGCUGACCCUGAAAUGCCAUCACUCUGACAGCUCUCUCUACUGUAUCUUGUUCCCUGCCCAGAAGAUCCUUCCAGUAAUACUGUUCCAGAAUGACUGGAAGCCACUGUCCAAGAGUGGGAACAGAUUAUAACAGCACACAGUAGGGCUUCUCUAUCCUGUUUUUCAAUUAAAGACUGAAAUGAAGAACACCUUUUGCUAACACUUGUUCUCAAUGCUAUUUUACUGUAUCAAGACUCACCCUUAAAUAUAAAUAUGUAAAGUUUUCAUGAAGAUAACUAAAAUAAUAAAUCUAGAUUUUUAACAAA